CUUUGUCCUCUGGAGGCUCUUCCUGUCCUUCCACGCUGGCAUCCAUGUCCUCAGCGUUGUCUGGCGCGGGCACGUCCCCUGAGCACAAGUCUGGAGAUGGGGGGCCAAGGAGCUAAGGAAAGUGGCGCCUCGAGAAAUUGGAAAAGGAAACAGAUUCUCCCCUGGAGGCUCCAGAAGGAACACAGCCCUGCCGACACCUUGUGUUGAGCCCAGCAAGACUACAUCUGACUUCUGACCUCCAGAACUGUGAUCAGCCAGGACUCACUUGAAGAAAAUGUACACAGCGGCUCGGCAGAGAAGGGGCGGGGACAAAGAGGACAGGAUGGAACGUACCCGCUUAUCUCCUGCCCGGCCUACAGCGCUCCCGGGUGUCAGGGUGGGACCAGAAAAGGGAAAGGGACACAGCAGUGGCGGCACGCCGCCCUCCCACUUCAAACACUGUCACCUCCUCUCCUGCCGCUGAGACCCAGAGAUGGUGAAUGGCCAAGGUGACAUGGGGGCGAAGCCUCGAAAAUCAGUUUGCCUAAACCGAUGAAAUGUGUUUUAUAUCUAAAGUGGGUUUGGAUGUUGGCAAACAUAGAUGCACUGUAAACCGAUUGGUUUAGCAUUUCCCAAACUCCACUUUCAUAAUGGCUUCACCAUUCUUGUCACAUUCGCAAGUGACCUGUCUGUCAGGGCUGGGUGGUGGGCGCACUAUGCCCCAGGGGCAGAAGGUAAAAGCAGUCACGACACAACCACAGGCAGGCUCUUCUGGUUAUGGGCUGAACUGCCAUCCCCCACGCCCUGCAAAUCCAUAGGCUCAAGUCCUGACCCCCAGCAUCUCAGGAUGUGACUGUAUCUGGAGACGGGGUCUUUGAAGAGGCCGUUAAGAUUAAAUGACAUCACCCAGGUCAGCCCUGGUCCAACAGACUAGUGUCUGGUGAGAAGAGGCGAUGAGGACACAGAGGCACCUGCUGAGGACACAGGUGGGAAGGUGGAUGUCUCCGUGUCAAGGACACAGGCCUCAGGAGAAACCAGCUCUGCUGACACCUUGAUCUCGGACUUCGAGGCUCCAGAAUAAAGAGAAAAUAAAUUUUUAUUGUUUAAACCACCCAAUCGGUGGUACUUUGUUAUGGCAGCCAAGCCAAAAAAAAUAUUAUAAAAUAUAAUAUAAAAGUGCUAUAAUGCAGUAUUAUACCAUGUGCUGGUGAUAAUACAAAUUCUAAAUUAGUCCUUCUUGACAGUUUGCUCUGCAGAUUAUUCUUGAACUGGGAUGUGCUUACUAUUUUUUCAUAAACUAACUCAAUUUUUCCUUACUUAACCAUACUCUAAACAGUAAACAGUGAACUCAGGGCUUUUAUAUGCUAUUUUGAAUGUUUUUUCCUAGUACCCAUGACAAUACGUACACACUGAAAAGCCAGGAAGCCAUCAAAAGCUACUGAAGGAGUUCCCGUGGUGGUGCAGGGAAAACGAAUCUGACUAGGAACC